AGUGAACGCUGGCGGCAGGCCUAAUACAUGCAAGUCGAACGGCAGCACAGUGGAGCUUGCUCCAUGGGUGGCGAGUGGCGGACGGGUGAGGCAUACAUGGGAAUCUGCCCAGUCGUGGGGGAUAACGUAGGGAUACUUAUGCUAAUACCGCAUGCGCCCUUCGGGGGAAAGCCGGGGACCUUCGUGCCUCGCGCGGUUGUAUGAGCCCAUGUUCGAUUAGCUAGUUGGCGGGGUAAAGGCCCACCAAGUCGACGAUCGAUAGCUGGUCUGAGAGGAUGAUCGGCGACACUGGGACUGAGACAGGGACCAGACUCCUAAGGGAGGUAGCAGUCGGGAAUAUUGGACAGUAGGCGGAAGCCUGAUACAGCCAUGGCACGUGAGUGAAGGAGGCCCUGGGGUUGUAAAGCUCUUUUGUCCGGGAGGAAAAGCAUCGGGCUAAUACCUCGGUGUUCUGACGGUACCGGAAGAAUAAGCACCGGCUAACUUCGUG
rnacentral:rRNA from 1 species